UUCCACCUGUUUUGGUCUGCUUUCUGGUAUAAGCAACCCAAGGCCCUGCUUCCUAUCAUCAUCCAAAUAAGGCUUGUACUUGUUCUGAUACAAUGGAUUGGAUGUCAACACCCGCAACUCCGAAUUCCCAUUGAUCUCCAAAACUUCAGGCAACCCAUUUGUGCACCCUUUUGACAUACCCACAUCAAUCCUUAUUGCCCUAUUGUCACAAACCCCAUUAAUGCCAGCCUCCUGAAUAGUAUGGCCCAUAAUCAUCCUCUUCACCCCAGGAAUUGUAGCAAGAACAUGUUCCAGAGCUGAACAAUCACAGUUCUUAGCCACCUCAUCAGAGAACUUCCUCAACCAAACAACACCAUUCCUCCCUUUGCAAUAAAGUGGCGCAGAUUUUUGUGUUAACCCAGUAAUCCAAUCCCUAACCUCCUUAUUCAUCCUCUCCAACCCAUAGUCCACAUGUUCUGCUAAUAAUCCUCCAUGAACAAAAACUGAAUCCCCAACAACCAACACAGUCAAAUUCUUUGACAAAAAUUUAUUGGCUAUAGGGCCAUCAGGUCUCAAUGCAGCAAUUCUAGCUCUCAUACCAUGAAAAUACUCUUCUUUAACUCCUCGAAAAGUUAAAGGAAUCCCAUCAAAGAUAUCCUUCGGCUUUUCCAGU
rnacentral:misc_RNA from 1 species